GGAUAGCUCAGUUGGUUUUAGAGUGUGGUGCUGAUAAUGCCAAGGUUGCAGGUUCGAUCCCCACUAUAUGGGACA